GAUGAACGCUGGCGGCGUGCCUAAUACAUGCAAGUCGAGCGAAUGGAUUAAGAGCUUGCUCUUAUGAAGUUAGCGGCGGACGGGUGAGUAACACGUGGGUAACCUGCCCAUAAGACUGGGAUAACUCCGGGAAACCGGGGCUAAUACCGGAUAACAUUUUGAACCGCAUGGUUCGAAAUUGAAAGGCGGCUUCGGCUGUCACUUAUGGAUGGACCCGCGUCGCAUUAGCUAGUUGGUGAGGUAACGGCUCACCAAGGCAACGAUGCGUAGCCCACCUGAGAGUGUGAUCGGCCAACCUGGGACUGAGACACGGCCCAGACUCCUACGGGAGUCAGCAGUAGGGAAUUUUCCGCAAUGGACGAAAGUCUGACGGAGCAACGCCGCGUGAGUGAUGAAGGCUUUCGGGUCGUAAAACUCUGUUGUUAGGGAAGAACAAGUGCUAGUUGAAUAAGCUGGCACCUUGACGGUACCUAACCAGAAAGCCACGGCUAACUACGUGCCAGCCGCCGCUGUAA
rnacentral:rRNA from 1 species